GGUAACUACUUAACUGUUGGGUGACUGUUGCAGGAAUGGUGGAUGAUGUUGGACGUUGUUUCUACAAACUGCUCCCUUUCAGAGGAAGUGUUCCAGGCCAGGAGGAGCCAUCUCUGUGAUGUGCAGUUUGGUGUGCUUGCAGAUCUUGCUGUUAUCGGGGAGAGAACCUUUGUUCAGCAGACCUGUACUUGGUUCAGGCAAAUCCAACCGAAGAUUUCAGCUGCACUGUUGCCUUGCCUCCCUGAGUUUGCAGUUCCAUCCACACUGCUAUGGUAUACAAUAAUAAAUAAAAAUAGAUAGGUGGGUUACUUCUCUAGCUUACAGGAGCCUUCUUC
rnacentral:lncRNA from 1 species